GAGCUGAAAGUGUCCCUCACUGAUCUCCAGACAUGCAGUGACUACUAUCAAAAUGAAAGCUUGUUGCGUGGGAUUGAGCCCAUUGUCAGUGAAGCCAUGAUCUGCUCCAAGCUCCCCGUGGAACAGAUGGAUCAGUGCAUCGGCAGUAGAGGAGACCCUCUGAUGUGUCUAGUCAAGGAUUUCUGGGUCCUGGCAGGAGUGGUGAGCUGGGGAUCAAACUGCAUCCGAACCAAUGAGCCUGGAGUAUAUACGAACAUCAGUUUCUACAAAUCUUGGAUUGAGAAGUCAGCCAUCUCACUUACUGGGCUUCCUGCUGCUCCCCAUCUGGGCCUCUCUGGGCUCCUUCCUGUGAUGCUUCUGCCUCUGAUCUUCUUGGUGCUGCCCUGACUGGCUAAGGUCAGUAUGGCUGGGGUGAAGUGACAAUUGAGAACAAGACAGAAAGGGGAAAUCCUAGAAGUUAAGGAUUGCAAAGAGAAAUUUUGAAGAGCCAGCAGGAUAGAUGCAGUUCCACUACCUGAUAAGCCUCGUCUGCAUGUCACCUUUCCCCUCAGGUCAGUCUGGAAAGCAAGAUCUCCAGAGUGAAUAAAAUUUGGUUGAUUCUAA